rnacentral:rRNA from 1 species
UCCUACGGGGGGCAGCAGUGAGGAAUAUUGGUCAAUGGGCGGGAGCCUGAACCAGCCAAGCCGCGUGAGGGAAGAAGGUACAGCGUAUCGUGAACCUCUUUUGUCAGGGAACAAAGGCGGGGACUAGUCCCCGGAUGAGGGUACCUGAAGAAAAAGCAUCGGCUAACUCCGUGCCAGCAGCCGCGGUAAUACGGAGGAUGCGAGCGUUAUCCGGAUUUAUUGGGUUUAAAGGGUGCGCAGGCGGCCUGUUAAGUCAGCGGUAAAAGCCCGGGGCUCAACCCCGGCCAGCCGUUGAAACUGGCGGG